GAUGAAGAACGCAGCGAAAUGCGAUACGUAAUGUGAAUUGCAGAAUUCAGUGAAUCAUCGAAUCUUUGAACGCAUAUUGCGCUCUCUGGUAUUCCGGAGAGCAUGCUUGUUUGAGUAUCAGUAAACACCUCAACUUCCAUAUCUUUUUUGAAAUGGGAGUUGGACUUGAGUGAUCCCAACGCUUUUCCUCACCGAAAAGUGGCGGGUUACUUGAAAUGCAGGUGCAGCUGGACUUUUCUCUGAGCUAUAAGCAUAUCUAUUUAGUCUGCCUAAAAAACAGAUUAUUACCUUUGCUGCAGCUAACAUAAAGGAGAUUAGUUCUUGUGCUGACUGAUGCAGGAUUCACAAAGACAGGCUUCGGCCGACUUUGUAAACUCGAUCUCAAAUCAAGUAAGACUACCCGCUGAACUUAAGCAUAUCAAUAAGCGGAUGA
rnacentral:misc_RNA from 1 species